AGUGAACGCUGGCGGUAGGCCUAACACAUGCAAGUCGAACGGCAGCACAGUAAGAGCUUGCUCUUACGGGUGGCGAGUGGCGGACGGGUGAGGAAUACAUCGGAAUCUACUUUUUCGUGGGGGAUAACGUAGGGAAACUUACGCUAAUACCGCAUACGACCUACGGGUGAAAGCAGGGGAUCUUCGGACCUUGCGCGAUUGAAUGAGCCGAUGUCGGAUUAGCUAGUUGGCGGGGUAAAGGCCCACCAAGGCGACGAUCCGUAGCCGGUCUGAGAGGAUGAUCAGCCACCAUGGAACUGAGACACGGUCCAGACUCCGACGGGAGGCAGCAGUGGGGAAUAGUGGACAAAGGCCGCAAGCUUGAUCCAGCCAUACGGCGUGAGUGAAGAAGGCCUUCGGGUUGUAAAGCCCUUUUGUUGGGAAAGAAAAGCAGCAGGUUAAUACCCCGCUGUUCUGACGGUACCCAAAGAAUAAGCACCGGCUAACUUCGUG
rnacentral:rRNA from 1 species